GGGGCAGGAAAGAAGGCCUAGGAAUGGGAUAUAGGGGGCAGGGAGUGUGUAUGUGCUUAGAGAACAGGCAUGGGGACAGUUUAUAGGGCCUGGGGUUAGAAUACAGGGUUCAGGUGGAUGUAGGAAGGGGUCAGGGCUCUUAGAAUGGAGUAUAGGGGGAGGAGAGAGUGGGUGUAUGUAGGUAGGGAGUAGACGUAGAGGCAGGAUAUAGGGCUUGGCGUUAAGAUAUAGGGCCCAGGUUUAUAUGUAUGUAGGGGGCAGGAAACAAGGCAUAGGGCCUGGUAUUAAGAUAAAGGGCCCAUGUGUAUAUGUAUGUAGGGGGCAGGAAACAAGGCAUAGGGCCUGGGGUUAGAAUAUAGAGCCCAGGUGGAUGUAGGAAGGGGUCAGGGCUCUUAGAGUGGAGUAUAGGGGAAGGAGUGGGUGGAUGUAUGUAGGUAGGGGGCAGGUGUGGAGGUAGGUUACAGGGCUUGGCAUUAAGAUGUAGGGCCCAGGUGUAUAUGUAUGCUGGGGGCAGGAAACAAGGCCUAGGACUGGAAUAUAGGGGGUAGGGAAUGUGUAUGUACUUAGGGAGCGGGCAUGGGGACAGUUUAUAGGGCCUGGGAUUAGGAUUUAGGGCUCAGCUGUGGGGCCCAGGGGAUGAGGGAUGGGAAGCAAAGCCUAGGAAAGGUUUAUUGGGGUCUGGAGGUAUAUGGGGAGGGGGCAGGAGGGGGAAUGGAGGCAAGGAAUAGGAUCUCGGGGUGGACCCAGGUGUGUGUGAGCGGAGGGAAGUCAUGGUGUUAGGAGGGCAGGAAUAAGGGACAGGGUGGACAUGGGGACAGGAAUUGGCCAGGGAAUGGGGUAUAGGGUGCCAGGGACAGAUAUGUGUGGGUAUGGAGUAGAUACAGGGGAUAAGAGAUCAGGAAUAGGGGACAAGCAUGAGAACAGAGGACUAUGGAUACGGCCUGAGAUUAAGAUGUAGGGGCCAGGGCCCAAGUAUCUGUAGGAAGAGGACAGACACAAGGAAAGGAGACGAGAAAUAGUAGACAAGGACAGGGGACAGGGGUUCAAGGAUGGGGAACGUGCUCUGGGAAUAGGAUAUAGGGGACAGAAAUAAAACAGAAGAGACCAGGAAUAGGGGGCAGGAGAGGGCAGAAGUGUGGGGACAAGAUGGAGAAAAUAGGUCGGUCUGGUUGGGGUGCAAUGAGUCAACCAUUAAAGGCAGAGCCAUUCCCAGCACAGUGUUACACGUUAUCGACAAGAUUAAGGACCGGGAUGUCACAGAGAGGCAAUGAAGCUGUCCUGGUGUCGUGGGCAGAGCUGGGAGUGGGGUGCUCAGUCUGAGUGCCCCUCACAGCACCAGCACUGUUUCCUCACAUCAAGCAUUGGCACAGGAGGGCAGUGGAUUCCCCAUCCAUGGAGGUGUUCAAGAGCCAUGGGGAUGUGGCACCAAGGAACAUGUAGAUGGAGGUCAGCAUUCUCUCAGGGCAGCCAGUCCUUGCUGGAACCAUCCCAGCUGGGUUAAGCAUUCAUCAGAACAUCUCUGAUAAGAAGGAUCUUCUGGAAGAGCUGAAUUAGGGAGUGGGAUCCCAUGUAGUUAUAUUGGCAGGUCUUUGGAGACCCAGAAAGGACACCGAGGACUGGGAGAACUCAUUGAUAGCAGCUCUGCAGUGAAGAACUUGGUGCUCCUGGUGGAUGAAAAGCUGGACGUGAGCCAGCAGUGUGCUCUUGCAGCCUGGAAGGCCAAUGGUACCCUGGGCUGCAUCAACAGGGUGGGGGCAGCAGGCAGGGCUGGUUGUUACACACCUUAAGACCCAGGAGUCAGACCAGCUCCUCAUCCGGUGUCCCUUAGAAGCUUGGCUCCUUUGUUGCUUUGUUGACUUUAGUUUUCAUACCUGCAGGAAGCUGACGCUUAACCGUUGGAUUUAGCACAACAGAAAAAGGUGGGGCGAGUACGUGGCACUGCUUAUAGACUGAUCUUGGCACUGCUUAUAGAUUGAUCUUGAACUGUCUUACUGAGACGUUAUACCAAUGGGGAAGCAGAGAAAUCAUGCUGCAUUCAGAGUCAUGCAAUAUGCCAGGGCCAGGAAGAACCAUAGAUUCACAGUAUCACUAAGACUGGAAAAGACCUUUAAGAUCAUUGACUCCAAUCAUACCAUAGAAUAACAGAGCAGGAGGCGAGGAAAUGGGGAAUUUGGGAAGGAAUUCAGCUUUGUGAUGUGGGAAUGAUUGUGCUUGCCUUUGUUUAUCAAAAGCUUUGAGAUACUGUGUGAUAAAGCUUUAGUUUUGGAAAUGCCAUUUAGCAAUACUCAGUGUCUUUUUAACCUCAACAGCAUCAGUCUUCAGACAUUAAUGAAGUUCCCACCCUUUCUUCUCUGUCCUUCUGUACUAGAAACCUGCCGCUUCUCUCCUAUUCAUGGGACAAAGAAGUACCACGGAGGUUUGGAGGAUCAAGACUCAGAUAGGAAGGGAUUGGGAAAACUCUGCUCCAACCUGCUGCUCAAAGCAGGGUCUGCUCUCAGGUUGGGUCAGAUUGUGGAGGGCUUUAUCCAGUUACAGAACCAUAGGAUCAUAGAAUCAUUAAGGUUGGAGAAGACCUCCAAGGUCCCCAAACCCAACCCCAAAACACCCCACCAUGCGCAUUGACCACAUUCCUCAGUGUCACAUCUCCACGAUUCCAGCAGUAGUGACUCCUUCCCUGGUGCAACAUGAGCCCACUUCAACAUAAGUGAGAUCAGAACCAGACUUCAUUCCAAAGAAGAAAUCCUCUGGUGGAAGAGCUUCAGUGAACUCACCAUAACCCUCAGGUCAGUCUGCAAUACCCAAACAUACACUGUGCUCCGGAGGUGAAGAGUUUAAUACUGCAGUUACUGGGUCAGGAAACCAUCCCAAAUGUAGAAGGCAGGAAAAAAAAACAAAAGAUGAAAAGAUGCUUUAAAGAAAAGAAA